rnacentral:lncRNA from 10 species
AUUAACCAGAAAUGAGGAGCAGAGAGCCUGGGGGAGGCUGGAAGCUGGGUACGCAGGGAGAGACAGAGACUAAGAGACAGUGAGAUACCAAGAUAGGGAGAGCCACGUGAUAGACUGGGGAGAGAUGAGAAAGAGACCAAGAGACCAUGAGGGAGUCAAGAGUCACCCCGCCACCCCCCUGCAGUGACCAAGCUGGCCCUGGCAGAGGGAGGGGUGUCUCUGGAGAGCUCCCAGCUGGAGGCAGGGUUUCUCUAUGUUGCCCAAGCUGGUCUUGAACUCCCGACCUCAAGUGAUCUGCCCGCCCCGGCCUCCCAAAGUGCUGGGAUCACAAGCGUGAGCCACCGCACCUGGCCCUUCCUCUGAGGCCUUCGUCUCCAAGAAUCCAGCAAAGUGACAAUAAUGAAAAUAAUGUCACUAAAGGGCCAGCACCACAGAAGAAAUCUCACUGGAACACCUGACUUCAAGUGUGACCUUGAAUCUCACUGAGCUCUCAAAUGUAACUGCCAGUUCCCCAAAAUGUGAGGAACUGAGAAACAGGGUGAAGAGCAGUGGCAUGAUCUUGGCUCAUU